rnacentral:rRNA from 1 species
AGUAUGGCCUGCCCGCUGAUUGAAGGGCCGCGGUAUUUUGACCGUGCAAAGGUAGCAUAGUCAUUAGUUCUUUAAUUGUGAUCUGGUAUGAAUGGCUUGACGAGACAUGGGCUGUCUUUUUGAAUUUGUAUUUUGAGUUAAAAUUCUUAGAUGUUUUUAUGGGACGAGAAGACCCUAUAGAGUUUGACAUUUGGUUUUUUGUUUGUUUUAAAUUUUUGCGUUUGUUUUGUUGGGGUGAUGGGAAGAAUUUUUUAACUCUUCUUUAUUGGUAUAUUGAUUUAUAUUUAUUUUGAUCCAUUUAUUUUGAUUAUAAGAUUAAAUUACCUUAGGGAUAACAGCGUUAUCUUCCCUGAGAGUUCUUAUUGGCGGGGGGGUUUGCGACCUCGAUGUUGGAUUAAGGUUAAUUUUUGGUGUAGGAGCUGAAUUGAUUAGGUCUGUUCGACCUUUAAAAUCUU